AGCAGCCGCGGUAAUUCCAGCUCCAAUAGCGUAUAUUAAAGUUGUUGCAGUUAAAAAGCUCGUAGUUGAAUUUCGGGAUCAAAUUGUUGGUCGUGCUUCGGUACGCACUGGCAUUAUUGGUUCCUACCUUCUGAAGAACCGCGAUGUCAUUAAUUUGGUGUCGUGGGGAAUCAGGACUGUUACUUUGAAAAAUUAGAGUGUUUAAAGCAGGCUUACGCUUGAAUACAUUAGCAUGGAAUAAUGAAAUAGGACGUUUGAUUCUAUUUUGUUGGUUUCUAGGAUCGACGUAAUGAUUAAUAGGGAUAGUUGGGGGCAUUAGUAUUCAAUUGUCAGAGGUGAAAUUCUUGGAUUUAUUGAAGACUAACUACUGCGAAAGCAUUUGCCAAGGAUGUUUUCAUUAAUCAAGAACGAAAGUUAGGGGAUCGAAGACGAUCAGAUACCGUCGUAGUCUUAA
rnacentral:rRNA from 1 species